rnacentral:rRNA from 1 species
UGGGGAAUUUUGGACAAUGGGCGCAAGCCUGAUCCAGCCAUGCCGCGUGCGGGAAGAAGGCCUUCGGGUUGUGAACCGCUUUUGUCAGGGAAGAAAUCUUCUGAGUUAAUACCUCGGGAGGAUGACGGUACCUGAAGAAUAAGCACCGGCUAACUACGUGCCAGCAGCCGCGGUAAUACGUAGGGUGCAAGCGUUAAUCGGAAUUACUGGGCGUAAAGCGUGCGCAGGCGGUUUUGUAAGACAGAGGUGAAAUCCCCGGGCUCAACCUGGGAACUGCCUUUGUGACUGCAAGGCUUGAGUGCGGCAGAGGGGGGAUGGAAUUCCGCGUGUAGCAGUGAAAUGCGUAGAUAUGCGGAGGAACACCGAUGGCGAAGGCAAUCCCCUGGGCCUGCACUGACGCUCAUGCACGAAAGCGUGGGGAGCAAACAGGAUUAGAUACCCUGGUAGUCCACGCCCUAAAACGAUGUCAACUGGUUGUUGGGAAGGUUCCUUCUCAGUAACGUAGCUAACGCGUGAAGUUGACCGCCUGGGGAGUACGGCCGCAAGGUUGAAACUCAAAUGAAUUGACGGGGUCAUAGC